AAAGGCUGUAAUAGCCAUUCAUUGCCUACAUAUCCGAUUGGCUAUUCCAUCCGGCUCUCUUUUCCCAAUUUUCCAAUUUCUGCCUUCCUUCAUCUUCUCCUUCACUUUCUUGCCAUUUUUCAGAUCUUCCCCUUCAUCUUCUCCCACAGAUCUGUAACUUUCUCUCCUUCUGUUCCCAUAUUUCAGGUAAUUUAUUUUUUCCUUCUUUUUAACGUUUCUCUUUUGUACUUUAGAAACUGAAGCAAAGGCGAAGAAAAUAGAGAAAAAGAUGACAAAAAAAUUUACUGGAAAUGUUAGACAGUGUUUCUUUUCUUUAGUUUACUAGUUUCGAAAUUUUUAACUCUUUGCUUAAAACCCAUUUCUUGGAUUUCGUUGUUUUUUCAGGGUUUCUAAAAAGAAGAAAUUUUCAAGGUAAUAUGCUUUGUACCCUUUUACUUCUACUUCUUGUUUUAAACCCUUUCUUGCAUGUGAUCUUUGCUGAGACAGUUUAUGCAUGUCUAUGGUCUUGCAUUUUCUUUCUCCAUCUUGCCGAAGUAGAGAGUCCCUUGUGUAGUUGACCUUUGUCAAGGUGAGUCUUUUCAUAUUCCAGAUAUAAGAGGAAAAAAUUCAGCCAAUCUCUUUGCUGUUUACCCGGCAUGAUGACUUUGUGAAGUUAAGUGGCUAAAAUUUCUUGUUUUUGGCUGUUGAUUCUCAUCAUUAUGGUUCAGGCUACUAGUUCAUAAACAGAAAAAACAUAAUAUAUAUUUUUAUCAUAAAUGUAGUUUCAUGCAUGAGUAGAUAUUACUGUAAUUGGAAUUUUGAUUUCAUGUACCUGCAUUCUCUCCUUGUUAGCAUCGCGUAUUACUCUUCCCUUGUCCAGUAAUGAUGGAUUAAGCGGAUCUCAGUGAUUCUUAUAUUAAAAGAUGGGAGUUUUGUUAGUUUCUCUGAACUGUUGAUUCUAGUUCUUGGAGUUCGGGAACUCCUAAAUUUCCAUAUUUCCUUUUAUCUGGCUUUGCAAUUGCAUGUAAAUCUGUUGUUGAAGUUUUCAAUUGGAAAUGGUUUCUAUAUUUUUCUUGAAUGAUCUGUUUAUAUUGUGCUCUGGAUUUUUUUUUUAAAAAAAGAAGAAAAAAUUAUCCAAUUUACGUUUAUUAAAGUUAGCAUUGCAAAUUGUCCAUGAAGCAUGGAGUUUAGAGGAUGGAUACUAAAUCACAAGGGCUAGUUUAUUAUUAUUAUUAUUAUUAUUAUUAGUAUUAUUAUUAUUAUUAUUAUUAUUAUUAUUUUCUUGAAGGAAUGUUCGAUUUCAUUCUUGCAUAAACAAGUAAUAGAAUUAAAUGGGGGAAAAUUGAUUCUUCUUGGAGGAUAUGAAAUCCCACCAUGUAAACGUCAUACUUGAGAUAUUUGGGAAAUGAGGGGAAAAAUUAGACACUCUAGGAGACCCUUUAAUAUCAUUAGCGAUAACUUUUCCUUUUUCCCUUGCAUCUUGUGGUCUUUUUUUUUGUAAUAUUAUUCCCCUUAUCAUUAUACUUAUUGGAAGUUAUUACAACAGUUUUAGUGCACUGUCACUGCUCAGACAGACUGUCGAGGGAGCCUUACAUUACAACCUUACAUUAUUGCACUGUCCCCUGCAUCUUGUGGUCAAUUUAACUUUUACUUGUUUUAUAAGAAAGACUCAUUUAGCAACUCAAUAACUAAUCUUCGUGGCUGAUCAUAACAGCCAAUUUCUUCUCAAGUCACUCCCUAAUUUGUGUAUAUCUAAUACACUUGGAACAAGAGAUGAGCUUGGUAGUUUUUGUUGGUUUAUAAGGACAAGGAAAUAAUAAUAGUAUGCUUUUUCUUAGAGAAAUAAUAAUUUGGAUUUUCAUAACAUGUUACUAUAAAUUACAAAAAGAAAAGAAGAUUACAUUAUGAGACAAAUGUACUAAGAUUAUGGCACAUGGAACAUAUAUCUAUGCUGGUGGGAACAUCCUAUCCUAGUCCCUUGUGCAUUUAUGCUAAUGCUAGCAGUAAUGUAAGAGUUUUUCGAGGGAAAUUAAACUCUUGGGUAAACUUGAGAUUUGAGUGCAAUAAAUAAAAACAAAUAUUUUAUCAAUUUUUUAGGCAAAGAUAGAAAAGAUAGUUUGCAUGCUGUCGAGGAAUUUAACUGACCAAAAGAUAGAAUUUUUAGUGAAAUUUCUAGCUGUCAAGGGAGCUGCCGAAGCAUGCAGUUUGCAUGCAUGCUGUCUAAUUUCUUACCAAUUUAGGUGGUCUGAUCGAUGGUUGUUUAUUGUUGUCCAAAUAAUAAUUAAAGAUCAACCAAAUGAUGAGGGAAUUAAAAUGGUCUGAACAAUGUGAAACUAAAUUGUUAAAUAUUAACUAAUGAUGUCCAAAUGGAUAUGAUUUAUGAUGUUAGUAAGCUAAAAAUUUAGGUGUUAAAUGCUGCAAUUUAUGGUGUCUGAAAGUUGUGAUUUAUGAUAUUAAUAAUGAUGUAUUUUAAGUUGUUCGAAUGUGUUAAAGAGUUGAUUUAAUUUAAUGCAUAAUGGUUGUUUACUGUUGUUCAAAGCAUGAUGAAAUAAACAUGUUAGGCGUAGUUUAAUAUAUGCCUUGUUGAGCCGUAAGGUUGUCCAAAACAAGACAAAAUUUAGUUGUCUUUAAGAUGUUCGAAUGUGGUUGUUCGAAUGGUUCUCCAAAUGUGUCUUUAAGGUGCUCGAAAAUGUCAUAUUAAUGUUGUCCAUGUAUGAUUUAAUGUUUUAUCAUUUGGAGCUUUAAUAUUUUAACACAAGUGAUGUUAAUUUCUUGUCUUGAUAACAUCUUUAUUAUUUACUGAUACAGGUGGACAGACAAGUAUCAGGUAACAGACAUAAACAAAUAUCUUCACUGCAAUGAUGAUACCAUUACUCUUUUCUAGUAAUAUGGGAAAGACAAUAUAUACAUGUUAAACUACAUUUACAAUUCGGAUUGGAUCUUUUUACUUUAAACAAGAACAUUUUGGUUAUAUUUAAUUUUCGAUAUGUUUUUAUUUUUGAUAUGUUUCAUUUAAAACUAUUUUAAUCUUUUCAUAUAUUAUUAAACUAUUAUUAUUUUCGAUAUCUUUAAUUUAUGUUAUAUUUAAUUUUGGUCUUCAAACAAUGUUUUAUAUUACUUAUAUUAUUUGAUUAAAAAUUAUAAUUAACACUAUAAAAAUUCUGCUAAGGGUAUUUUAGUCAUUUUAGUUUUUUUUCUUAUACUAUUACAACAUAAGAAUACUAUUACAGUUCUAUUCCAUUCCAUUCAACCAAACAAUUAAAUUACUUAUUACAGUUCUAUUCAAUUACAACUUUAUUUCAUUAUAGUGAACCAAACGUACCCUCAGUAUUUUAUUAAUCUUGGGUUUGUAUAUAUGCCUAGAAAAAUGAUAAAAUCUUUUCAACUAAAUGAUAACGUGUUCAAUAGCUUCUUUUUUUUUUUUUUUCUUAUACUAGUUCCCAUGUGCUUUUAUAUGUUUAUUUUUUAAAUUUAUCAAAUAAUAUAUUUUUAUGAUUUAAAAGAAAAUAUAUUUACUAAUUAGAAGAGAAUUAAUCUAAUUUAUAAUAAAAUUAUAUUUAUUUUAAAAGUAGUGAAAAAUAAAAAGUGAGAAACAAUUAAUAGCAAAAUAUUAAAUAAUUAGAAAAAAUAAUUUGUCUUUUGAAUAGGAGUCGAAUUUUCAUCUACAAAGAACCAUUACUUUAAUACUUUAUUAAAUUUAACAUAAUAUUUCACAACAUUCACAAUUAUGUAAACAUUAUUAAAAUAAAAUAAUAGUAAAAUUAUCAAAUAUCUAAUAAAAAUAACUAAACAUCUCAAAUAAUAAUUAAAAUCAUACUUUUUUUCUUUGUGAUGGAAACAAAACCUACUAAAUAAUUUUAAAAUAUGAUUUUUCUAGUAAUUUUUUAGAUGUUAUUUUGAAUGAAAAUACAUUGCUCAUGCAUAUAUUUAUAGUGCUAAAUAUUAGGCUUAAUUGGUAUAUAAUUGCAACACUAAUUAAAUGAUAAUUAAUCUAAAAUAAUAAAUGUAAUUUAAUAUGAAUCCAAAGCCUAUUUAAGUGAUAUUAAUAAAACAAUUAUAAUUAUAACUAUUUUAUUAAUAAUGUUUCUAUUAAAUCUUGAAUAUAAAAUUACAUUCAUAAUAAAAUAUUAAUAUAAUAAUUAUAAUUAUAAUUUUUUUGUAUUAUAUUUUAUUAUUGAUUUUAUAGAUUUAAAAAAUAUGAGAAACAUAGAUAACACAAAAUACUAAUUCUUAUUAAAAAUUAUUUAAUUAAAUUAUAGAAUAUAUUUAUUUUCUUUCGAGUUUUGAUAUAUUAAUUAAGAAUCAACAUAUUUAUAUUUUUAGACUAGAUUACCAAUAAAUUGAUAUUAUCUUUAUAUAUAUAUAUAAGGUUAAUCUUAUACAUUUAAUUUUUAUUAAUUAAAAUUUAAUAUUUAAAUAAAUUAUAAAAUAUAUUUAUUUUCUUUUGAGUUUUGAUAUAUAAAUUAAGAAUAAAUAAAUAAAGUUAUACAGAUUAGAUUACCAAUAUAUUAACAUUAUCUUUUUAUAUAUAAUGUUAAUCUCACAAAUUUAAUUUUCAUUAUUUAUAGAAUCGAUUUUAAUAUAAUGUUAAUCUCACAAAUUGGUUUUUAAUUAUUUUUAAUUUACCCAAUCAUAUUCUAUGAUUUUAUAGAUUUAUAAUAUUAAUAAUAUAUUAUGUUUUUUUAAAUAGAACUUUUAAAAGAUAUGAUUAAAUUAAUUAAUUUCACAUUAAUAUAUUAUCAUAUUAAUUAAUAUUAAAUUUAUUUUUAUCACAUAAUAAUACUAAAUAAAUGUUAAUUUAAUAAUAUAAUUAAUAAUAAAGGGUAUUAUUAUAGUGGGUCGAAAGUGUUUUUAUAUAUAUAUUAUAUACGUGUGUGAUAUUAGAUUAUAUUAUAACACAUAUAUUAAUUUUCAUAUUAUAAUCUCAUUGUAGGUUAAGUACAUAUUUUAUUCAUCCAAGAAAGGCAAAAUGUUGGUACAAAUUACACUAAUGUCCUACUAGACAGCUACAAACAACGGUAUCAUCUCAGCUAUUUACAAUUAAUUUUCGAUCUCUACAUCUAUGAUCAGAAGUAUUUACUACAAAAAAAAUAUAGAUAAAAGGAAAAAUAUUCUCAUUGUCAAGACCUCAAUAUAUAUACAAGUAAUGUCCCAUAAUUUUUACUAUAAAGGAAAUAUUUUGUAACAAACAAAUGGUGAAUGGUGAAUCAGUUGUGAAUUGAGCUGAGUUGGCCAUUCUAUUUGUUAUUCAUUUCUUCUGAUAUUCCCUCUGCAUUUCCUUGCUGAAAUUCUUCAAGUGCAGUAACAUUCAAUUGAUCUCGAAAUAUGGAAAGUGCGCUUGCUGUUAGUGGCUUUGUUAAAACGCCUGCUACUUGAUCAUGCCCAGGAACAUAGUUCACUUGAAGCUUGCCAUUUAAGACCAUGUCACACAUAAAAUGCAAAACGAGCUCAACAUGUUUGACACGUGCAUGUAAGACCGGGUUUGCAGCCAAGGCUACAGAGCUGGAAUUAUCACACCACACCACUGGAGCCUGUUGUAAAGAGAUUCCUAUCUCACUGAGAAGAGACUGAAACUAAAUUAUCUCUAUAGUAGUAUUUGCAAGGAAUUUGUAUUCAGCCUCAGAUGUGGACCUAGACACAACCCCUUAUUUCGUAGACGACCAUCCAAUCAAGUUGUCACCAAGAUAGAUGCAAAAACCAGAUGUUGACUUGUGGUCUUCAAGUGAGCUUGCCCAAUCCGCAUCAGGGAACCCUGUCAGACGGAUUGCCGAGGGUUGAAAAACUAGACCAUGAUCUAACGUACCUUAAGAUUCUUUUUACUACAGUCCAAUGCACAUCAUAUGGCAAGUUCAUAUAUUGUGAGACUUUAUUCACUGCAAAUGUAAUGUUAGGUUGAGUUAAACAGAUGUAUUGAAGGCCCCCUACAAUCUGCCUAUAUUUGGUCCUAUCUUGGAAGUGUGAACCAACAAGAGAGGACAACAUUGGUGACCUGACCAUUGGCGUAGCAACAAACUUGGCAUUCCACAUCAAGUCCAAGAAUAAAACUAAGCUCUUCUAAGAAAACUGACUAUAGAGAGAUUGAAUAACCGAUUCAAUCGAAGAAUUAAAGUCACCAGUAACUAUGAUAUCAUCGACAUAAACAAGAAGAAACACAUUACUACCAGGUACUUCUUGAAGAACAAUGAAUAAUCAGUCUUGGAAGAUUGAAAUUGCAAGUCCUAAACUAAGAAAUCAUGAAGUUUUUUAAACCAAGCUCUAGGAGCCUGUUUAAGCCCGUACAGAGCCUUGUUAAGUUUACAAGCUAGCAGAUUCCCAUUAGCAUCGGCAACCUCGAACCCUGGUAGUUGUCUCAUGUACACCUCAUCAGCCAAACUCCCAUUCAAGAAUGCAUUGUUGACAUCCAUAUGUCUUAACUUCUACAUAUUAGAAACAACUAAAGAAAGCAUAGUGUGCACUGUGUUAACUUUUAAUAACAGGAAUAAAUGUUUCAUGAUAAUCCAUACCCGCAGCUUGAGAGAAGCCUUGUGCUACGAGGCGUGCCUUGUUUCGAACAACUGAGCUGUCACG
rnacentral:lncRNA from 1 species